CAGCAGCCGCGGUAAUACAGAGGGUGCGAGCGUUAAUCGGAUUUACUGGGCGUAAAGCGUGCGUAGGCGGCUUCUUAAGUCGGAUGUGAAAUCCCUGAGCUUAACUUAGGAAUUGCAUUCGAUACUGGGAAGCUAGAGUAUGGGAGAGGAUGGUAGAAUUCCAGGUGUAGCGGUGAAAUGCGUAGAGAUCUGGAGGAAUACCGAUGGCGAAGGCAGCCAUCUGGCCUAAUACUGACGCUGAGGUACGAAAGCAUGGGGAGCAAACAGGAUUAGAUACCCCUGUAGUCCCUGUCUCUUAUAA
rnacentral:rRNA from 1 species